rnacentral:rRNA from 1 species
CCUGAACGCUGGCGGCGUGGUUAAGACAUGCAAGUCGAACGCACUGUAGCAAUACAGUGAGUGGCGAAAGGGUGAGUAAUGUAUCGCUAACGUACCCCGGACUCAGGGAUAGCUGCCCGAAAGGGCAGGUAAUACCUGAUGAUGUAACUGCAGGGCAUCCUGUGGUUCCCAAAGGUCCGCCGGUCUGGGAGCGGGCGAUAUCGUAUCAGCUAGUUGGUGAGGUAACGGCUCACCAAGGCGACGACGCGUAACCGGACUGAGAGGUCGGCCGGUCACAUCGGGACUGAGACACUGCCCGGACUCCGUACGGGGGCUGCAGUAACGAAUCUUCCGCAAUGGCGCAAGCUGACGGAGCGACGCCGCGUGUGGGACGAAGUCC